UUGAAGCAAGUUGCUCCCAGUUGACUUUUGAGAUCUGUCGUGUUUGCCUGCAGCUUGGCCAGGAAGCAAAAAGGCCAUACAUCUGCACACUGUCUCCAUCUGCCAUCCAAUCUGGCCACCCAAAUUGUUCCACUUAGCAUGGAGAGUCCCUGGGGAGAGUCCCAGGACACAGUCCGAGGCAACACCUGGGUCCCCUCAGCCACUGAUAAGUCCUUUGUAUCUCUGGAUGUUUCCUGAAAAGGCUGGAUGCUUCCAGUUCAGAAUCCCCGCCCCCACUCCCAUCUAAGGAGAUGUCAUAUAAUUCCAGAAGCCAGCCUCACCUUUAAAGCGUCAAGCCCCUUCCCAAACACCUCUCAAAUCGCAAGUCACCUGGAUCCUCAGAGGGCUACACGUCUCAGCCUGCCUGCACCACCCCAGAGGUCCCCAGUGGAUGGAGAAUGCCUAACUGCUUGCGGUACCCAGAUCUCGGCUGAGAUUUCUCCCCUCUGUCCUGCAACCUGAGCUGUGUGUGGUUUAGUCUAAUUCCUUCCGAGUCUGUGCAGCCCUCGCUGGAACCGAUUCUAAGCUAUCUGGUGCCCUCUGCUGGACAACUGCAAUCAUGGCCAAAGUCCAGUUUCCCAGAGUCCCAGGGAAGCAGAGGAAACACCUCCCCAGAUUAUUUUAAUUCUCUCCAAUUCCAACCUGCCCCUAUUUGCACUAAAAGGAUUCCAGGUGUGUUAUGAGGUUUGCAUCAUGUGGUGAGAAGAAUUCAGGACUAUGAACUAGCUCUAAUUCAAUUAAGCCCCGAGCUUUGUGUCCUAGGCAAAUUACUCAUGCUGUUUCCUCAGUUGUAAAAGAGCAAUGACCAACUGCCUUGGAGGUUGGUUACCUGGAUUAAAUAUGUUAAUGGAUGUAGAGCUCCUAAAUGUAGCCAACCCCAAAGAUGGGACACAAUUUUAUCUCUAUGACUCUGUCAUUCAUGAUGUUAUUAAAUUCAAUCUAAAAUUAAAUCUGUCUAUCAUGAUGACUGCACCACCUCAAAAAAUACUGCUGUCACAUGUGGGUCCAUUUCUUCUUUCUGCCCUAGAAUUGUGUCUGUGCGAUAAAAAGGACUUUGUUCCACCCAUAUUCCAACCCCAAUCUGCCUGUAGUAAAGACAGAUGGCAGCUCAAUGGUCUCUAGAAUGAUCAUUCCUAUGUUGCAUUUGCCCAGAGGAUGGGUGGUAAGAAGCACCCUGGACAUUUUCCAUCCUAGCCUGCCCCUCUAGGGGUGUGAAUGUCCACCAGCCACUUAGAGGUCAUAUGGUUCUAGAAAGAACCUUUAGUGGUCCACAGCCAUCCAGCCAGAUGUUCAAUGAGCUGUCAAAUUAUUGGAGCUUGAGCUCUCAGAUGAAGUGUAAGAGUAGAAAGGUCAUGAGGGUCCCAAAGAUGCUGUGUCUAUCUUAUGCUACUAUCCGCCUAUAUGAAUUGACCUCUGAGCCUCCCAAGUGUUCCUCAAUCUACACCUUGUAGGCGGUCUGCCUAUGCCUGCUGCAGCCCUCCCCACCUCCAAGAGUUACCAGAGAGACUCUAUAAGCUGGAAACAGUAAACUAAAGCUCAGAGAUGUAUGGCAGACUCACGUCCCUUUAGACACAACAGUAAACACCCCCCCGCCAAAAAAAAACAUAACUCAUUUUCUCAGCCACCUUUGCAGCUAGGGGUGAAUAUGUGAUACGAAU
rnacentral:lncRNA from 10 species